rnacentral:rRNA from 1 species
UUUGGAAGUAAAAAGUCGUAACAAGGUUUCCGUAGGUGAACCUGCGGAAGGAUCAUUAAUGAAUUUUGAAAGGGGUUGUAGCUGGCCUUUUCGUUUGAGAGGCAUUUUGUGCACACCCUGAUCAUUCUCCAAUUCAUACACCUGUGCACAUACUGUAGGUCGGUUUGCGAGGCGGAGCCUUCAUUGGCGUAGCUUUGUGGGCCUUCCUAUGUUUUUAUCACAAACUACUAGUUUAAAGAAUGUCUAUUGCGUGUAACGCAUUUAUAUACAACUUUCAGCAACGGAUCUCUUGGCUCUCGCAUCGAUGAAGAACGCAGCGAAAUGCGAUAAGUAAUGUGAAUUGCAGAAUUCAGUGAAUCAUCGAAUCUUUGAACGCAUCUUGCGCUCCUUGGUAUUCCGAGGAGCAUGCCUGUUUGAGUGUCAUGGAAUUCUCAACUCUGUUCGCUUUUGUGAAUAGGGCUUGGAUUUGGAGGUAUUGCCGGACUUAAUUGUUUCGGCUCCUCUUGAAUGCAUUAGCUCGAGCCUUUGUGGAUCAGCUUCGGUGUGAUAAUUGUCUACGCUGUUCUGUGAAGCAUACACUAUGGGUUUCGGCUUCCAAUCGUCCUUCGCGGGACAAUGAACUUUUAUGACUUUGACCUCAAAUCAGGUAGGGUUACCCGCUGAACUUAAGCAUAUCAAUAAGCGGAGGAAUA